AAUCAAUGAACUUGAAUAAGUAUAUAUUUUGAAAAUAUAAUAAAGAAUUUUUUUUUCUAUUGAUUU
rnacentral:tRNA from 1 species